GGAGGGCCCUGUGUCCCCUUUAGGAAUCGUCCUGGGGCGGGGGCGGAGGGUAGGAGGAGAUGCUGGAGGCAGGUGUUCAGACUUGGAAAGACCCAGACGCCGCUGGUCCCGGGCUGGCGGAGGAAAAGUGGGGCCAGAGGGGCAGGCAGGGGGUCAGAGCCCCAAGGCCUCUCCUGGGUUUCCUGCUCCGCAGGGAGCACCCCUACGGCAGAGGGUGGACACACUGAGAGAGAGAACCAGCCCAGCUCAGGAUGCAGCCUCGGGCCGCAGCGCAGGGAGCAGGCGGCGGGGGCAGCGCCGAGAGACACGUCCUGCCUGCAGGGGGCGCUCACAGGGCACCGGGCGCUGGUUCGCCGCUCAGGUGGCCAGCACAAAGGAGCAGCUGGACCAGGAAGGGCGGCAGCGGCGACACGACCACCUCGGCCAGACCCUUCCAACCAAGAAGUGAGCCCUGCUACCAACACUCAGGCAGUCUGGCCGCCACAGCCCUGACCAGCGGGCAGCAGAGCCACUGCUGAGAAAGCCGACGCCCUGUGCUGCUCGGCGGCCAGCCUCGAGGGGCACCGGGCUGACGCAGCCACGGCCCAGAGCCCACCCCUCACCCUGCAUGAUCCCCUGCAAGCAGUGUCCCCCCCGACCCGGCCCCCGGGACUCGGCCUCUGGCUGGCCUGGACUGCGCUUCGGGACACUGCUCUGGGACACGCCCUCCACAGCUGCACUGAGGCCCCUCGCAGCCCGCAACGGGCCUGGCACGGCUUCGGACCCUGGUGGCCAGGCCCCGUCAGGCCGGCUUCCGCAGCCUCCAGCUGUAUUCCGUGCCCUUAGCUCUGUAAACACGGGAAAACACGUGGAAACCAUUUCCACCACUGGAGCCAAAAACAUAAUGUCCUGCAAGGCCCGGCCACCACACCCCCACGCCCAGAGGCUGCAGGACCUUCCGUAUCCAGGAAGUGCAGGUCCGUCUCGGUGGCAGGUGGCUGGAAGUGACUCCGAAUCAAGCCCCUGUGGCUCGCGGGCCGUGAGAGGCCCUGGGGGUGAAGUCAAGGUUGGCGGAGGAGCACCCGCCUUCCCAGCCCCUAAACGCUGGGAAGGUUCCUUGGGAAUCCAGCCCCGGUCGCCGUGGAGACCACGGCAGCCAGGAACCCGUCACACCCUGGAGCGCCCACAACAGUCACGGUAAGCGGGGGCCCCAGUGCGUGAAGAUCCAUCCAGCACUUGGGGUUGAACCUGGUGACGGAGCUUCCAUUUGCUGUCAACUGUACAAAAGCGGAGGAGAAAGAGGCAGCCAGGCAGGCUGCAUUCUGCCUGUCGACCCUGCCCCAUCCCUGGUGGCCGUGUUGAAGAGAUUCUGAAGUUCAGUCCGGCCCAGAGGGAGGAGCCUGGUGGCCUAGCAGCGGCUGCUCCGGGCAAGGAGGCCUUGACGGUGGUGUGCGAAGCCUGGUGUUGGCCGUGGCCGUGGCCAGUCAGAGCGGGUAGCAAUCCAGCGGAGGACGGCAGGCCGGCCCUGGCUGGAGAGCACCGCACAGACGGGCAGGAAGGGCCCCGAUGUAACAGACGCCACCCGGGGCCUGGCAACGCUGACCGGUCCCAUCCCCUCCUCCCCCACCCCGCGGAGGAGGGACCUGGGGGGCAGGGGGUGGGGGGUGACGGGUGGGAGAGGAACCGGAAGCUGGAGACUGGAGUCUGGGGAGCGGGUUUCCGUCCUGGCACCUCAGUUGUCACACCUCUGGGACUGACGCUCCCAGCAGAGGCGGGGCGGGGGAAGAGCACGCGGAUGAGAGAGACACAGCGCUGAUGAGAAAGGGGGGUCGGAGUGGUUUCUGGACAUUGAAAUCAGAGCCCCCCACCCCAGUCUGGCGCGAUCCGGCCCCUCCUCACCCAGGCGGCCCCCAGGACACGUUCCAUGCCUGUGAAGCCUCUACGAUUUUUCUGUUUCAACCAAAGUUCAAUCAAUGUAGGCGGUACUAUUUUUACUCCUUCAACAUAAGGUUGAAUACUUAGAAAAAAGGACUUUUUUAAUGGAAAUUGGUGUUCUCUUAAGCAUUUCCAAGAGUGAGCACGUGUGAGAUGCUGAGGUGUGGAUGGCUGUGUCCCCUGAACCAGGGCCCCCGUCUCCGCCUCAGUGGCCCAGCUGCACCAAGGCCCAGCCGCUGGCCGUGUAGCGACCACACGGGGUGAGC
rnacentral:lncRNA from 1 species